UGCGGAUAUGGCGGAAUUGGCAGACGCGCCAGAUUUAGGUUCUGGUGGGAGACCGUGCAGGUUCAAGUCCUGUUAUCCGCAG
rnacentral:tRNA from 1 species